GGGCGGUUAGCUCAGUUGGUUAGAGUACUUGCUCGACACGCAAGAGGUCAGUGGUUCGAGUCCACUACCGCCCACCA
rnacentral:tRNA from 5 species